AGAAAGGAGAGAAAGAGAAAGAAAGAAAGAAUAGCUAACCAAAUUUCCUGCAACUGAGGCAUAGUUAGGGGUGGAAGGGGGUGUUAGAGGGCAGUGAAUGACCUUCUAACAAUAUAGGCAUUAAACAGAGAGGCAGUCUUAGAACUCCCAUAAAUGUGGAAGGCAUAGUUAAUCCACUGUAUACGUGAAUCAUAUACAUUGUUUAACAAUACUAUAACAAAUGUUUUCAUCAUUGGGAAUUUGCCCAAUUAUUUCCUUAUUUUUGUAUUUUUUGAUAG